rnacentral:tRNA from 1 species
GGGGUUGUGGCUCAGUGGUAGAGCACUUGCCUAGCAUGUGAGGCACUGAGUUUGAUUCUCAACACUGCA